UACGGAGGGGGCUAGCGUUGUCCGAAGUUACUGGGCGUAAAGCGCGCGUAGGCGGGUUGGUAAGUCCGCUGUGAAAGCCCGGAGCUUAACUCCGGAGGGUCGGUGGAUACUGCCAGUCUUGAAGGUGCUAGGGGGAGAUGGAAUUACCGGUGUAGCGGUGAAAUGCGUAGAUAUCGGUAGGAACACCAGUGGCGAAGGCGGUCUCCUGGGGCAUUCUUGACGCUGAGGCGCGAAAGCUGGGAGAGCGAACGGG
rnacentral:rRNA from 1 species